rnacentral:rRNA from 1 species
UACGUAGGCAGCAAGCGUUGUUCGGAGUUACUGGGCGUAAAGAGUGCGUAGGCGGUCCUCUAAGUUUGGUGUGAAAUCUCCCGGCUCAACCGGGAGGGUGCGCCGAAAACUGGAGGGCUCGAGUGUGGGAGAGGUAAGCGGAAUUCCUGGUGUAGCGGUGAAAUGCGUAGAUAUCAGGAGGAACACCUGUGGUGUAGACGGCUUACUGGACCAUUACUGACGCUGAGGCACGAAAGCGUGGGUAGCAAACAGG